GUUGUAUAGUCAAGUAAUUAAGUGCAUGUGGUGGAUGCCUUGGCAGUCAGAGGCGAUGAAAGACGUGAUAGCCUGCGAAAAGCUCCGGGGAGGCGGCAAAUAUCCUUUGAUCCGGAGAUGUCUGAAUGGGGGAACCCACCUACUUUAAGGUAGGUAUUGCAACAUGAAUACAUAGUGUUGCAAGGCGAACGAGGGGAAGUGAAACAUCUCAGUACCCUUAGGAAAAGAAAUCAAUUGAGAUUCCCUCAGUAGCGGCGAGCGAACGGGGAUCAGCCCAUUAAGUUAUGUGUGUUUUAGUGGAACGCUCUGGGAAGUGCGAACGUAGAGGGUGAUAUUCCCGUACACGAAAGGGCACACAUAAUGAUGACGAGUAGGGCGAGGCACGUGAAACCUUGUCUGAAUAUGGGGGGACCAUCCUCCAAGGCUAAAUACUCCUGACUGACCGAUAGUGAACCAGUACCGUGAGGGAAAGGCGAAAAGAACCCCUGUGAGGGGAGUGAAAUAGAUCCUGAAACCGCAUGCAUACAAGCAGUGGGAGCACCUUCGUGGUGUGACUGCGUACCUUUUGUAUAAUGGGUCAGCGACUUAUAUUCAGUAGCGAGGUUAACCGUAUAGGGGAGCCGUAGAGAAAUCGAGUCUUAAUAGGGCGUUUAGUUGCUGGGUAUAGACCCGAAACCAGGCGAUCUAUCCAUGAGCAGGUUGAAGGUUGGGUAACACUAACUGGAGGACCGAACCCACUGUCGUUGAAAAGCCAGGGGAUGACUUGUGGAUAGGGGUGAAAGGCUAAUCAAGCCUGGUGAUAGCUGGUUCUCCCCGAAAGCUAUUUAGGUAGCGCCUCGGACGAAUACCAUAGGGGGUAGAGCACUGUUUCGGCUAGGGGGUCAUCCCGACUUACCAAACCGAUGCAAACUCCGAAUACCUAUGAGUACUAUCCGGGAGACAGACUGCGGGUGCUAACGUCCGUAGUCAAGAGGAAAACAAUCCAGACCGCCAGCUAAGGCCCCAAAAUCAUAGUUAAGUGGGAAACGAUGUGGGAAGGCAUAGACAGCUAGGAGGUUGGCUUAGAAGCAGCCACCCUUUAAAGAAAGCGUAAUAGCUCACUAGUCGAGUCGGCCUGCGCGGAAGAUGUAACGGGGCUAAAACUAUGUGCCGAAGCUGCGGAUNNNNNNNNNNNNNNUUGACAUUAGUCAAGUGGUAGGGGAGCGUUCUGUAAGCCGAUGAAGGUGUAUUGAGAAGUAUGCUGGAGGUAUCAGAAGUGCGAAUGCUGACGUGAGUAACGACAAAACGGGUGAAAAACCCGUUCGCCGAAAGACCAAGGGUUCCAGUCCAACGUUAA
rnacentral:rRNA from 1 species